UCCUCUCCAGCACCUGUUGUUUCCUGAUUUUUAAUGAUCGCCAUUCUAACUGGUGAACAUGCCUUUUCACAAGGUUGUUGUAAAUGAGAUCAUGCUGUCACACACUUAGAGCAAUAUUUGUCACAUAGAAAGUGAUCAUCAAAUGCUAGCCAGUAUUAUGUAUGUGCCGCUGAAGUCUCGCUCAUCCCAGAGAUGCUGCAGCUGGGUGCUGUGAUCAGUGAGAAAGCAUACUGCAAGGAUUUUUCUCAACACAUCAUUGUGACCAUUUGUAGGUAAAAUUUAUUUCUGAUCCAAUAACGUAUUCAGAUCUAUGAUCAUGGUACAUAAACUUAUGGCCCUGAAAAAGUCAUAAUUUCUGUGAGUCCUGGUUCCCUCACUUAAAAAAUGGGGAGAGUGAUGCUUGUUCCAUGUCUUACAAAGACAAAAUAAGACAACUUAUGAGAUACACUUGACCCACUGCUCAAUACACUAAACCCACUGCUUUAUUCUUUUCAGAUCUACAGAUCUGAAAAGAAUAAAGAUCCCUUCAUCAGUGGAUUCUCUGAGUGGGGAAAAGCGCCUAUAUAACGAAGUCGGUAAGGUUGGGAAAUUAAUUAAAUCACUCAUUCAAAACUACAAAUGAAGCAUAUAUGCUAAGCAAUGCCCUCCUUUCAUCAUGGAAUGUAAUACCUAUUGACCUCAACCUGACAAACAUACAAUUGGAGUUUGUAUACACAUACAACCAUGCUGUUGGUUGUGAGUGGAGAAUGAAAGAAAAGAAACACUGUUGUAUGUGUGAAAUGUUGCCUUCUUUGUGCCUUUUUUCUGCACCAACAUAAACGAUAAUUGUCAUUUUCACUUGUUAAUUGACUAAUUAUGUUUUGGUUCCAUAAUGUGCCAGUAUUUGCAUUUUUAGUCUGUUAUCUCUUUCCCUGUAAUCAAACAGCCUUUUUUCUCUAGAAUUUCCUACAUCAGCAAAUAUUUUAGAGGUAACUGCAUUACUGAACAAUUAUAAUUACUUUUGACAGAUUGAGUACUUUUAAUAUUACUUCUCUCCUGUUCUAACUCUCCUUUUCUUACCUCUCUAUAGUCCAGUCUCUUAUUUGAACAUAUCUCUCUUCCUUCCCCCAAAUCUCCCCUGUCUGGAAUAGUAUGCUCUACUUCUCUGACUAGUAAAAUCUAACUCAGCUUUGGAGACCUUGCUCAACGUGAAGCCCCCAGGAGAAAUGUCCUCUGGUAAGAGGCCUUUCCCUACUCCUUUAAUAAAAGUAGACAUUUUCUCUCAAGAUCUCAGAGUGUACUGUCCUUACUUCUAUGAAAGCACUUGCCAUGCUAUAUUGUAUUUAAUGCAAUGUCUGUACUUCCAAAUAGACUAUAACUAUCUAAGGGCAGGAACUAAAGUAUCUCAUUUAAUGUGAUCAUGUGUUUGUUGCAUGGAUAAAUGAAAUAAGAAGGGAGUCCUGGCUGCUCCUUCCAGGCCUGUAUCCCUUUGUCUUUAAGCCCUGGAGGAGUCCACCCUACUCUGGCAAAAAACAUUUAGCAUAUCCCUUCCUCUCUCUGAGUACUGCUACCUAUCCUAUAGCCCAAGGCUACCGAAUGCAUAUUUUAAACUUUACAGAAAAUACCAUGUUAUUUAGUAUUUUACCAUUUUUAGGGUAGGGCACUGGAAUGUGUUCCUAUCUCUCCUGUGUUUUUUCUAACCAAUGUUUUCUCUAAUUUUUAAACCCUUUCAUGGAGGCGUUUUGUAUUUUAGGUGCUGUCAUUCAGAGUCCACAGGAUGGAUGAAUGGAUAUAAAAAUGAACAAACGUGUGACACAACACUGCAUGAUUUACCAGCAAUGACUUUCUGAUCAAGCCUGAACAUCCCAAGACAACCAUGCUGUCAAGAAGUCAGUCUACUCCACUGGAGAAGGAAAGGCUGUUCAGGGAAGUGAAGAUGCCCCAGCUGACAGUCACCACCUGCCAGACAUAAGGAGCCCAAGAAAAAGCACCCAGAUGCUUCAGUCAAUUUCUUAGAAUUCUUUUUUAUGUUCAGAAAAGAUGGAAAUUCAUUUCUGCUAAAGAGAAAGAAAAAAUUUGAAGACAGGGUGAAGGUGAACAGGCCCAUUAUAAGAAAGAAACAAAAACCUAUAUUCUCUCUGCAAGGAAACGAGAGAGAGAGAGAAAGAGACAGAGAGAGAGAGAGAAAGAGAGAGAAGAAAGAAGUUCCAGGAUUUUAAUGUACCAAAGGGAUCUCCUUUUUCUUGUUUUGUUCUGAAAAUUUCACCAAAGAGCACAGGAGAACAUCUUGGCUAAUUCACUGGUAAUGUAAGAAAACUGAGAGAAAUGAAAGAAAUGAAGAAUUACUGCUGCAGAUAACAUACAGCCUUGAGGAAAGAAAGGCUUUUAAGAUUAUAGAUAUAAAGGCUAUUGCUGUAUUCUGGGAUAAAAGAAAGUCUGAUGCAGGGAAAAGGGAAGUUGGAAAAACCGGAAAAA